CAGCCUCUCCUUCUGGGGGCUCCGGAGCAGGCAGCUGUCUUCCCCUUCACGCACUCCAGCUGCCCCUAGAAGGAAGCAGAGGGACGGCGACAAGUGGCCAGUGUGGUUUUCCCCCUUUCUCCCUGGGUUCUGGCCCCUGAGGUCUGCUCCAGGCCCUCCAAUAAGCCCGUCUCUCUCCUGCCGUAAGGCCUUUGCUCGUGCUGUCCCCACGGCCUGUGGCCCAGCCCCCGACCUCUGACCUGUUGGUUCCUUCAUUCUUCGGAGAGCCGCUGAAGCUCCACACUGCAGAGGGCCCCGGAUCUGCUUGAAUCAGUGGCCUAAUGUGUAGCUGGCGUUUCCCAAACAUGGACGGAUUCCCCUUGGCUGCAGAGCCAAGUAAGUGAUUUCUGCGACUGGAAGAAAAUGAGGACUCAAAAUAGGUAGGUGCCAACUGCAAGCUGCGGGGGAAGAAAAGAAGAAAUGAAUAAAAAAGUGAAGGGAAGGGGCUUCCCUGGUGGCGCAGUGGUUGAGAGUCUGCCUGCUAAUGCAGGGGACACGGGUUCGAGCCCUGGUCUGGGAGGAUCCCGCAUGCCGCGGAGCAACUGGGCCCGUGAGCCACAGCUGCUGAGCCUGCGCGUCUGGAGCCUGUGCUCCGCAACGAGAGAGGCCGCGAUAGUGAGAGGACCGCACACUGUGAUGAAGAGUGGUCCCCGCUCACCGCAACUGGAGAAA